rnacentral:tRNA from 1 species
GAAGGUAGAGCUCAGUGGUAGAGCACAUGCCUAGCAUGCACAAGGUCCUGGGUUCAAUCCCAGUACCUCCA